CCCGUGGUAUCCAAAUUUGUCCCA
rnacentral:siRNA from 1 species